UUCACAUUCCAACUCUCAUCGAAGAGUCCCAACUGUCAGGCAACAUCCAACAAGAUUUACGCCAUCCAAUGCAAAACAUUCCAAUUGUCAACCAGUCAUCGACCCCAACCAGCGAAGAGAGCCUACCGAAGAGAAACGGCCAUUCCGCUUAAAACAUUUCCCUGUAAACUCACACAUGCCCGCUGUCGCGAGAAAUGCACAUCUCCGGCUACGGUCCUUUCGGUGUGUAUGCGCUCAGCGUGCUCAUACACGGCCUGGUCCCAUUCAUUCCUGGAUCUCGCUCGCAUUGUUUUGGUUCACACCGAGGCCAUUGAACCCCGAAAGUGAACAGAAUUUCGCCCCCGUGACGUGCGUCGACCCCGCAGCGUACGAGCAGCUCCAAAGAAGCGCGGCCCGUCAGCGUCGCCAAGAAACGCACGUCGGACGCAGUGCAGGAGUGCGUGUGUGUCAUCGAACGUCCCAAACGAGCAAUCGAUCCGCCGCGAGUGAAAUCGCGGCCCCAUUUCCACGCACGAUUGCCCAGUGCAGUGACAAUAAUUAAUCCAAAUACGCGGCAGGUUAGUGCCGCUCGCACGCAGUUUCCCAUCCGUCCACCGCGGAACGCAUUACGCACCGUCGCCGCGAGAAAAUUCAGAGGCGGACAAUCGAGCCGCGACUGAUCCCAGCGUGGGCUCGACCGCGGCAGUGCACCCAGGAAAGUGAAAAUCCAAGAAAUUCGCGUGAACAGUGAAAAGGCGGGAAAACUAGUGAAAACGACGGGAACCCCCGCGGCAGCGACUGCAGUGAGAGUGGUGAAGGUGAGCGUGGCCGGGCUACUGGCGCGGUCCGCAGUCCAGGAAUUCAGGGAAGCGCGUCCCGCGAACCAGUUCCGGCCCAGUCAGUGGAGCCCGCAAAGGUUGAAGCCCCAAAUAUAAACACGCAUCGACGGCAAACCGAGGGGAGCGGCCGCAGCGGCUGCACCAGCUGCGCGCAAGCGAGACAGCAAGAGGAAGUGGAUUCGACAAAAAUUCAUUUAGAGUUCAAUCGCGUUCAGUCGCGGGUCCAGGAACACCCUCGCGCGCGUCUCCAGAGCACGCGAAGCCAAGUCCCAGCCAGGCCGGGAAAUCGAUUUUCCCAGCCGCGCGCUGUAGUGUCGCGAGUGCAAAAAACUCGGCCAUUUAUUGAUGUUUUCCCGACGUCGACGACCUGAGUAGUGGCAAAAGGAAAAUCGAAGACAAAACAAAAGAAAAACGGAGUCGAGCCCGAGAAGAAGAAGAAGUGGUGCCCCGAUCAGGCGGGGCUGUGUGAGUAGUGGUGUCGUGGCGGCUGGUGCGCGGCUGUGUGUGAGUUAGGUAAUACACGCGUGUUUUCCGCCGCGGUCAUUGACCCCGAAUGCCGGCUCGCUGCCGUGCACACCUCCCUAAGAGAAACUCCUUGAAUGAGAAGUGAGCGAGUGGCAGUGAAGAGACAGCACGGAAAUCGGAAAAACACUCGCCUUUGCAGGAUGGCGCUCUCGUGUGUGUGGAAAUCGGUAAGAGACCGCGGCAAAGAGAAGUGCAGUGUCGAUGACAGCGGCCGUUGCCUCCGUUGCUGUCAUCAGCCGGCAAAAUAAUCGUUCCGUCAAAGUUUUAUUGCCAUUUCGUUCAUUCACACGCGGCCUGCCAGUGCGGCGGAUGUGUCGUCAUCGAUAUUGAACGCGAGACGGAAAGCAGACUUAUCGGAAAAGCGGAAAAGCCUGGAACAAUCGGUUGGUUUGGCUGAGUGGGCUGGCCAGAUAGCAAUUACAGGAGUUGGAAAUUACAAGUGUCAUUGGCCGGCUUGGAGGUUUUUGCACUGUGACGGUGGUAGGUUCGGGGACAUGGUCUUGAUUGAGGAAGCCUCUAUGCGCGGAGUGAACUCAGAUUGAAGCGAGCCCUGUCCUUUUUGAUCGCCCUUUAACCGUUCUGCCGAGCAGAUUCACGCUCCAACAUCCAGUCGAGGUUUCAAUGUAAAGUGAUGGCAAAAAGUGCGGGCAGUGCAUGUCCGUGAAAUUCAAGUGAAGGACUUUCGGGACCUUUCUCGCUUCUCGCAGCCCCACAGGAGCUCUUUGGACACGGAGAACCUGACCAUCAAACAUGUUGUGAUUCGAAAAACAGUGGGUUCAUAUUCAGUCAGUUUCUCCCAAGCCAUUAUUCGCCUGAUAAGAACCUAAAAGGAACACACAGCGACCUUUGGACAAAACAAACAACCGAAACUCUUCGGACGUCAUAAUUUCAAAUUUAUUCCGGUUCCCUCAUUUCUUUUACAAACCAACACUGGACGCUCCCUCCUCAUCCAACUCAACGUCUGCUCCAGCCUCCCCUUGCUUCCCGCCCAUACGAGUGCUCCCGUUCCUAAUCUGAAUCUGUUGAAUGACUGUCUUUCUUUCUAUCGCCGAAAUAUUCACAUUUCAAUAAGAAGAAAAAAAACUGUCGCCAAUCAGCCAUUGACCUUUCAUUUGUCCGAUCGGAAUCAACUGCCGCUGCUGCAAUCUGGGAAUUCGUCAAUUGUUUGAUCGUCCGCUGCUGAUUAAUGUAUUCAAAUACGAUUUGUUAUGCAAAGUGCAGUGCAUUCGGUUAAUUUUGUCAUGAAACGUAUCCACGGAAAUUGGUCGUUGACGAAAUUCGCAAGAGAAAAAGUUACGUAAAGUGUUUUAAGGCCUUACUCUGUGCAUGAAGUUUGCCGCGGUAUUUCUGCAACGCUAUUUCGAAAAAUAAUUGUUACUGGUGAUUAUUUACUGUGCGAGUGUGCGUACUUUACGACUGUAGCGAGAAUUUCAAACAGUUUGUGAUGUGGCUUCGGAUCAAUGUUGGAAUUCAGGAUAUUCGGCUGGCCUAGAUAAUGGAUUAUGAUUCGGGCGAAAUAGCAAUAAUAAGAAGGAACGCUGAACUAUUCCAACACACAUAUUCCACGACGCAUGUAAAGAGGCGGCGAUCAUCAACGACUUUUGCAACGGAUAUAUUCCCUAUCUGACCUAGCUUUUCCGGUUCCCUGGUUAUGUCUCUCGUCAGUUUUUACGUUAACUAUACAUUCUAAAGGCGAGUAUCUGCUCUAAUCCGUCUCUACAAAAUCCAUUGUCACAAAAAAGUUUAUUGGUCGGUCGGCUGGUUAUCAACUAUAAUUUGCAACAACGCUGACAAGAAUUAGAGAAAACGCCAUGAAUGAGAGGGAGAAUACAAUGA